UAAAUAUUUACUACCUCUGGAUGCACCC
rnacentral:piRNA from 1 species